rnacentral:rRNA from 1 species
UACGUAGGGUGCGAGCGUUAAUCGGAAUUACUGGGCGUAAAGCGUGCGCAGGCGGUGAUGUAAGACCGAUGUGAAAACCCCGGGCUUAACCUGGGAACUGCAUUGGUGACUGCAUUGCUGGAGUAUGGCAGAGGGGGGUGGAAUUCCACGUGUAGCAGUGAAAUGCGUAGAGAUGUGGAGGAACACCGAUGGCGAAGGCAGCCCCCUGGGCCAAUACUGACGCUCAUGCACGAAAGCGUGGGGAGCAAACAGG